rnacentral:rRNA from 1 species
AGUGAACGCUGGCGGUAGGCCUAACACAUGCAAGUCGAACGGCAGCACAGUAAGAGCUUGCUCUUACGGGUGGCGAGUGGCGGACGGGUGAGGAAUACAUCGGAAUCUACUUUUUCGUGGGGGAUAACGUAGGGAAACUUACGCUAAUACCGCAUACGACCUACGGGUGAAAGCAGGGGAUCUUCGGACCUUGCGCGAUUGAAUGAGCCGAUGUCGGAUUAGCUAGUUGGCGGGGUAAAGGCCCACCAAGGCGACGAUCCGUAGCUGGUCUGAGAGGAUGAUCAGCCACACUGGAGCUGAGACACGGUCCAGCCUCCUACGGGCGGCAGCCGUGGGGAAUAUUGGACAGUGGGCGCAAGCCUGAUCCAGCCAUACCGCGUGGGUGGAGAAGGCCUUCGGGUUGUAAAGCCCUUUUGUUGGGAAAGAAAAGCAGCAGGUUAAUACCCCGCUGUUCUGACGGUACCCAAAGAAUAAGCACCGGCUAACUUCGUG